AGAUGUGAGGGUGAUCUGGAUGCGACGUCUGUCACCCCAUUGAUCACCAGAGUUGAUUCAGCAGAUCUGGCUGGCUAAGCAGGUGUCCCCUUCCUCCCUCACCACUCCAUAUGCAUCCCUCCUGAAGAUGCAUGUUUAGUGGGAAAGGAUGGCCUUCCCACAGAGAGAAGGAGCAUUCUUUGGUCAAGGGUGUAUGAGUAGCUUGUGGUCCCCUGUUAGAACUUCCAAUCAAGCUCUCAGAAUAAAGGUAGGGCCUUGUUCCCUCUGAAUGGUCUAGGGAAUAAUCUGUUCCAUGCUUCUUUCUUAGCUUCUGGUGUUUGCCAGCAAUC
rnacentral:snRNA from 1 species